CUCCAAAUGCCAGCUGCUUUGUUCAUUGUGGAAUGAGGUGUAGUUAAAUGUGUUUGUGUUUUGGAAAGGUAUUGCAUUACCUUACUCUCCACCUUUUGCUUUGGUAAUCAGUAAUCAGUAAUUCAGUAAUCAUCUCACUAAGUAUGCCUUUUCAUUUCCAAUCUGUUCAACAGAGUUAACAAGUCAGACCACCACUCCUCCGUCAACUUCGCCCACAUCUCUGCCAGUACCACCCCAGCAAGAUUUUUACAGACUUGUUCUGCAGCACCUCCGCACAAUUGAGGAGGAGCUGAAGGAGGUGAAGCAGCAGGUGGCGGUCAACACAGCCAUGAUACAGAGACUAGGUGGUGGUGGUGUGGCAGAUCUCGGCCUUGUGGAAGACACCAACAUGCCAUUGAGCAAUGCCGAGGACCUGGACGAGCUGGAGAGGCGGCUUAUAUCUGAUGUGGACCUAAAAAAUCAACUGGUGAACAUACUUGCUAUUUUGGGAGGGAAAACCACCAAAGACGCAGUGAAGAGGAUGCUGGGCCGGGCUUUCAGGACGUCCCUGGCGCUCCAAAUUAAUUGGACUGGCGCAGCUGGAAAGAUCGCUUUUAAGUCCCUAAACCUGAAGAGUGUGUUGCACAGUAAGUGAUUUUGUGAAACUAUUGUGAAUGUGUUCAAGUAUAUAACCCCUGGCAAAAAAAAAGCAUUUUGUGAGGGCACGCAUACACAUUGAUGAAGGCAGACAUGGAAGUGCUGAACAUUAAAACUGAACUUUAUUUAACUACUGCAUCCUAUUAUACAUGUAGGCUGUCUGCGUAUCUUUGCGGUACAGAAGAGUGUUGAAUGGGGAGUUUAUAUAGCCCCCGCCUAAACGCAUGGCAUUAUGGGGAAGUGAAGUUUAUAUACACUACAUGGGUUCUACAUUUUUGUUUUCUCCCAGCUGCGCGACACUAGCUGCGCACAACUCAACCUCUGAUUGUUGGAAACCGCUGUCGGUCAAAAAAUUAGCUUACGUGGUUGGCUGCUGGUGUCUUGCCCCUCCUCACAACACUGUGUUUAUAAACACGUGAAUCCAUGUAUAUUCUUCCAUACACAACAUCUCACUUACUCUUUGUUUUACUACAGGAGCCGUUCGGAGAGUGGUAACCACAGCCACUGAAGAGGAGCUUCAAAAAGAAGUCUCCCUGUAUUUGAAGGGGGCGGCUGACAGGGAGGGAGGGAGAAAAGACAGGCAGAAAAGGGUGGGGGAUGGGGAGUGUUGAGCCCAUGUUGGCCAUAUGCUUAUGAAAUAAACAAAAUGUAUUGAACCUAAUAGCCUAUGUGUGGUGAGUCUGUGUAAUAGUUGCUGAGGAUAUAUGUUUUUGUACUGGAUUACUAAAUUAUAGAACACAUUAAAAGGUUUCUCAUCAGCAGGCUGUCUUUACCUUGGUAAAUUUUGGUAACUUUGGUAAGCCCAGUAAAUAAUUGUAAUUUUUUUGAUUGAGGGCAAAUGGAAAGUGUUGUAAUGUAUUAAAUUACUAUUUUAGUACAUCAUUUGAAUUAUUAUGGCCAUAAAUAAGACCAUAAAGGCCAUAAAUAAGGCCAAUUCGAAGCUGGUGGCCCACCAUCGGUUCUCUGGUGGUUCGCCGGCGGCUCAAAAGCGGCACAAGGGCGGCCCUUUAUCUGCAGCCGCUUUUGAGCCGCCGACGGACCACCAGAGAACCGAUGAGCAAAACUCCAGCGGGCCACCGGUGGGUACCGCCGUUGGACCGCCAACUCUGCCGCUGGUGGGCCGCCAGUGGGCCGCUAACCUAAUGCUAUCUGGGAUACAUCACGUCUUUUUAGGUUUGGCGUGGACGCGCACAACCCUGUGUUGUUAACCAACCCCGAGUUGAUUUG